rnacentral:rRNA from 2 species
GAGUUUGAUCGUGGCUCAGGAUGAACGCUAGCGGCAGGCUUAAUACAUGCAAGUCGUGGGGCAGCAUGACUGUAGCAAUACAGUUGAUGGCGACCGGCAAACGGGUGCGGAACACGUACACAACCUUCCUCUAAGUGGGGGAUAGCCCAGGGAAACUUGGAUUAAUACCCCGUAAUAUAUAGAGACGGCAUCGUUUUUAUAUUAUAGCAGCAAUGCGCUUGAAGAUGGGUGUGCGGCUGAUUAGAUAGUUGGCGGGGUAACGGCCCACCAAGUCGACGAUCAGUAACUGGUGUGAGAGCACGACCAGUCACACGGGCACUGAGACACGGGCCCGACUCCUACGGGAGGCAGCAGUAAGGAAUAUUGGUCAAUGGACGCAAGUCUGAACCAGCCAUGCCGUGUGGAGGAUGAAGGUCCUCUGGAUUGUAAACUUCUUUUAUCUGGGAAGAAAAAGGGAAUUACUUUCCCGUCUGACGGUACCAGAUGAAUAAGCACCGGCUAACUCCGUGCCAGCC